UACCAGCACCCCGAGUGGUCGGGACGAUUAUUGGGCCUAAAGCAUCCGUAGCCGGUUUUACAAGUCCUCCGUUAAAUCCAGCUGCUUAACAGAUGGGCUGCGGAGGAUGCUAUAAGACUAGGAGGCAGGAGAGGCAAGCGGUACUCAGUGGGUAGGGGUAAAAUCCGUUGAUCCAUUGAAGACCACCAGUGGCGAAGGCGGCUUGCCAGAAUGCGCUCGACGGUGAGGGAUGAAAGCUGGGGGAGCAAACCGG
rnacentral:rRNA from 1 species